UACGUAGGGGGCUAGCGUUGUCCGGAAUCAUUGGGCGUAAAGCGCGCGUAGGCGGCCCGGUAAGUCCGCUGUGAAAGUCAAAGGCUCAACCUUUGAAUGUCAGCGGAUACUGCCGGGCUAGAGUCCGGGAGAGGCGAGUGGAACUCCUGGUGUAGCGGUGGAAUGCGCAGAUAUCAGGAAGAACACCAACGGCGAAGGCAGCUCGCUGGGACGGAACUGACGCUAAGGCGCGAAAGCGUGGGGAGCGAACAGG
rnacentral:rRNA from 1 species